GGGUGGGGGUUGAUCAGGAAUUCUGAGAUUUGUAAGCAUGACUUUCUUUAACGGAAAUUGAGCUCUAUUUUGAGGGAAAUUAGUUUUGCAGACUUCGUUCAAAAAAAAAAAAAAAAAAAAAAAAAAGUAAAACUUUUGUUCCCCAGCUGCUCGACUUUUCAUUCCGGGGCUGAGCUGAAACCUGCCACGAGGCUUUCGCGGUGCCAAGUUAUAUAUAGAUCUGUCAAAAUGAUGUAGGACCUGAAAGCUCCCUGUAAGGUGAUCCUCCUGACCCCAUGAUUAGAAGCUUCACAAUGUUCUACCCACACCUGCAAGUCUCCUGAGCAAGAUUUCAAGGAAACACAGGAAAUUCCAGGAACAGCAAAACAUCCUAAUUGAAGACACUGAGUUAUUCCUCUGUGAACUGGGAGCAUCAUCGUGAAUUAGCUGUUGAUAUGCUUAAGAGUUUGCUUGGCAACUGUCUUUGUGAAGAAAGAGGAGUCAGGUGUAUUAUCAGGAUGCCCUACCAGACAGUGCUGUCUUAACAGGUUACUCCUCACAUCAGAGUGCUCUAGCAAAUGUUUAGUUCUUACGCCCAUAAAUUCUGGUGCUACAGGGUUGGCUCUCCAGACAGCCCUUGAUUUGGGGGGUUAGUCAUCCCAGCUUGUGUCUCCAGGAAACCACAGCAGGGGUAAAAGAGGCAGAGGGUCGCAUACUUCAUAAUAUUUAUUUUGACGCAGAAGUAACUCAUGUCAUUUCUGGUUGCAAUCCAUGGAUCUGAACAAAGUUAUCCACACCUGUGGAGGUCUGGACCACGGGCAAGCCCAUACUACACUAGGCUUCUGUUUUACAAGGCUUUGCCAGCUUUUAAAUCUGCUUCUAGUAGGCCUAGUUUACAUCACUAAACUAUGUGUUGCCUGAGCCUUCCUGGUAUCCUCGGCUGGUGCUCCCUAGCCCAUGUCCACACGCAGUAGCCUUUAACAGACACAGAUGCCUGAGCACUUAGAGCUGUGCUUCCCUGUACCGUUAGAUUGAGUACCCUGUGGCUGCUGCAUCAUAACAGGAAAGACUAAUUACAAAGACAAAAGUAAAGAAAUGUGGAGAAGGGAAAGGGAUCUGAGGAUGCGGGGAGGAAAAAGGGAAAGAGGAAAGAAAUGGGGUCUACAAGACAUAUAUCUGUACCAAUUCUCAACCACUAAUAAAAAGGAUGAAAAGACAUGAAUUAUUGUAUUAUCAGUAAAAAUUACAUGUGACCAAGAAAUAUAAAAAUAUUACCACCUAACUUGUAACAAAAAUGAAUAGUAUAGGGACUAUUUAUAACCUACUAAAGUGAUAAAGAUUAAAAAGUAAAUUGUGCUCACAAAAAUAUAUAAAAAUAAUAAAUUUCAUGUACCACUGAUAAAGGUAACUGGAAUACAUUUCCAAGAAGAAAUUAGCAGUCAAUAAAAUGGAACUUUAAUCCUGGAAUUCCAAGAUUAAAGAGAAAUUAUUUUUUUCAAAGCCAGGGUUUAAUCUUAAGUGAGAGUCAGAACAGUGAAGGUGUUCUUGUGUUAAGGUAUGACAAGGAAAGUUCACUUUCACGUGACACUUUCUAUUGUUUACCAAGCAUGAGCUGCCAUAAAGUUAAAACAGAGUUUUACAGAGUUUCAGAGCUUUUCACACAAAAACUCAAAUAGAAAUCAUAGUGUUAUCUUUUCUCCAAAACUGAUAUCAUAGUGCAAAAUGCAUUAUAUUUAAAGAACAAUGCAGAAAUAAGCCUUUCAAGUUCUAACACAUAUGAAAAAUAAUAUUUUUGUUUACUUAAUGUUGAAUAUAUUGCAGGAAAAAAUGCGGAUAGAAAUUAGUUUCUAGUGAAUAAAUCCUUUCCCUUUGCUGUCUGGUUCACUUGCUCCUCUCUCUGUUCCCUUCUCUUCUGCCUCUUCUCUCUCCAACACACUAUUACUGAUGUCUUUACCAUCAUAAUAUCCUUGGCAUAAAGAGAACUUAUUCUUUGGUGGAAGUUCAUUGAAACAUAAAUUAGAAACAAAUCUAAGUGAUGUGCUGUGGUUUGGAUAUGGUUUAAGUGUGCACCCCAAAAGUUUCAUGUGUUCAAAUGUUGGUCUUCAGAAAGCUAUACUGGGGGAUGGUGGCACCUUUAAAAACUUUGAGGCAUGGGCACCCUCAGCUCCAUUGGUGGAUUUCGGAAGGAUCUGUGAACUUUAGACUCCAGACUGCAUGUUUCAAGAUAUAAUCUCUGCCUUACAAGUGUCCCUACCAUGAGGUACUACAGCCAAGGGGGCCCUCAUCCAUGCCAGUCUAAGGACAGCAAGGCAGACAGUCUAUAUUUGAUGGAAUUGGAAGCUUCAAAAAGGAUCCAUCUAGUGAUGAAGAAGUUGCCACAUCAUCUGCAGAGAACAUGAGUCAAUAACUUGGUGUUGAAGUCACCCUCCUACUUGAUGAGCUAAAACUUGCACUGCACUGAGUGGCUGAAUUCUCACUGGACUUGUGGUAAUGAAUGAGCUUUCUGAGGCAGUACAAAAGGUAACAAAUACAAAAGUAACAAGGAGCUUCCUCCUUGAGGUAAUCUCACACUUACAAAGAGAAAGAUGAAAACCUGUCCAGGGAUGCUUGGCAGAGAAAUCACUGGAGAAGAAAAAUGAAAAUAAGGCACCAUGUUUUUUUUUUUUUUUUAAAGAUAAAAAUAACAAUAAAACAAAGUUUCAAAACAGGUUAGGAGUACAGUCAUAAUAAUAAAUACAUUGCACAUUGUUGUCUUCACAGUGGUUUUUCAGAGUACAAGAUACAGGCUUGGUAUCUUGUCCAAACAAUAUUAGCACAAACCUUUGUUUUCAAUGAACUAAGAGAAACUAGCUGUAUAUCUAUCUUAAUUAUCUUGUGUAUACAUAUAUUUUUUUUCCUUUUCUUCAUAUCAGCUUUCCCUGAUCAUAGUCAGCCUCUUCUUUUGAACAGUUUCUUCCCAAUUUGUAAUAUCUGUUGUAGAUUUUGGAUCUUACUUGCUCAUUUAAUUUCUCAUGCUAGUGAGAUAAUAUGAUGUUUACAUAUGGGUUUUCUUUAUUUCACUUGUAAGUAUGGACUUAUAUGCAUCCAUUUACCUAACAAGUCUCCAGUUUAUCCUUCUUUAUGGCUGAGUAGCACAUUAUUUUAAAAAUCCACAUCUUUUUACCCAUUCCUCUGUUGAAGGACAUUUAAGUUGUUUCCAAGAUUUAGCUAGCACAAAUUGUGCUGCUAUAAGGCUGGGUGUCCAUAAUUGCUGUGGUAUAUUGUUCUUAAUUCUUCUGGGAAGGGUUAAGGAUAUAGCUCAAUGGCAUAAGCACUUGCUUGGCUGGUGCAAGAUCCUGAGUUCAAGUGCCAGUACCAAAAAUAGAAAAAUAAAUAAAUAAAUUAUUUUGGGAAAAUUCCCAGAAGGGGAAUAGCUGGGUGCAAUGGUACCUAUAAUCCUAGCUUUUUAAGGAAUCUCCACAAUGAUUGCCACAGAGGUUGCACCAGUCUACAUUCUCAUCAACAGUGGAAAAGGGUUUCAUUUUCCCUACAACCCUUCCAGCAUUUGUUGAUUUCUUAUUAUAGCCAUUUUAAUGUUUUGAGACCCAAGAAGAAGAGAGAAAGAUGUGUCAAAUGGGUAACGAGCAGUCUCAAGCAAAUCAGAGAUGAUUUGAAAGAUGACAUUGGAGAGAAGGCUGGGUGAACAGCACUGAGAAGGCUUCAUCCCAGAAGCAGGGGACUCAGAAUACAGCAAAAAAGGAAGCAAGAGGUACAAGACCUGUCUCACGUGAGAUCUGAGUCUCAAAGCAGGACCAUCCUGCAACUAUCUGAAGGAGCACUGAAGACAGUGUGUGUUUUGCCGCUGUUUGUCUCAAAGAAAAUGUGAUGUUUUAAAAUUUAAGUAGAAGGAAAGAAAUUGAUUUUGCACUGGUGUCAACACACUGCAGUUUUUGUGAAGGGGAUGAUUGGUAAAUACUUGAAAAAGACAAAACAUUAUGAGAAUAAGAAUAGUUUUGGAAUUCUGGGAAAUGACUAUUAGUAACAGGUAGACAAGCAAAGAGACGGAUAAGUAAGCAGAUAGAUGACAGAUAGACCGAUCAAGUCUUUUGUAAGUCGUAACUGGAAAGAGAAUUUUUUAUAUGUACAAAUCAUCAUUUCUAAAUAUUGGAAUGGGAUUGUGGAGCUUUGAAUAAUCAUUAAUCUAAUAUUAAACACAAUAUAUCAAUUAGGGGUUUUGGUUUCUCUUUCCCAUAUAUUGUUCUCAUUUUCGUGCUUACCAUUUCCAAAUGUUCUUAAUAUUUUGUCUUGACUUUGAUGUACAUGACUUUGAUAUACUUUAUAUAUCUUGAAUUCUACAAUAAGUAACAUAAUCAAGAAUAAAUAAUUACCAAAUUUUGUAACAUGUAAUGGCGCAAUAAAAAUAAGGGCUUGAAAA